AUUGAACGCUAGCGGGAUGCUUUACACAUGCAAGUCGAACGAGUGGCGAACGGGUGAGUAAUAUAUCGGAACGUACCCAGUAGCGGGGGAUAACUACUCGAAAGCAUGGCUAAUACCGCAUAUUAUUGUAUCGGCCGAUAUCGGAUUAGCUAGUUGGUGGGGUAAAGGCUAACCAAGGCAACGAUCAGUAGCUGGUUUGAGAGGACGACCAGCCACACUGGGACUGAGACACGGCCCAGACUCCUACGGGAGGCAGCAGUGGUGAAUUUUGGACAGUGGGGGAAAUCCUGAUCCAGCCAUCCCGCGUGUCGGAGAGGGCCUUCGGGUUGUAAAGUACUUUUGGCAGAGAAGCGGUAUCUGAAGAAUAAGCACCGGCUAACGACGUGCCAGCAGCCGCGGUAAUAC
rnacentral:rRNA from 1 species